UACUCAGUUUUGAAGUCUUUCUGGGUUGCCAAAGUGACUUUUCUUGUGUCAUAGAGAGACUGUCAGACUGGGCUGUCCCCAGGCCUUGUCAUUCCAGAGGAAAUGCUCCUUCCCUGGGCCAGAGGAAAAUGGCCAGGAUGCCCAUCACUCUCAGUUUUCUCCUUGGUAAAGGAUGAGAUUGGACUAGAUAAUGGUUAACCACACAAGCUGUCAUUUUCAGGAAAAGGAGAAUUGGGCCAACUGCUUCCUAUGGCCAUCUGCUGGGUGACAUUUAACCCCAGCCUUGUCUUUUACCUUGUUAAAAAUGAACUUUCUCUUAACUGUGUAACCUUUAUCGGAACAAUACAUCUCUCUGGCUCCCAGAGGCCAGUGACAAUUAGCCAUUUCUCCUCCCACUUCCCCCGCUUCUGCUGCAACAGAGUAAAUCAUCAUUUUCCAUUCCUUCCGUUCUGGACCCAAAGACUGGAUAAUGUCAGAAGCUACUGAUCUAGAACAUGAGCCAGCCAGAAGGAAUCAGUUGUGGCGAAGGAGCUAGCCAUCUGAAGGAGCAAGAUACCAUGAAGGAGACACAGGAGAAAACUUACUCCCAACGCAGUCAAACCAGCACCACCAGCUCUCUUCAGACCCUAGUGGAAUAGCACAGGAUCCUGAAUAAAAAAGCUUUGGCAGUAGCAGAGCCCUCUGGAUCAUCCAUCUACUAAAGAAAGAAAUCCCUAUGGUGAGCACCAUCUCCACCCUCCCUCCACAAUAUCCUUUCCCUACCCCCAUCCUUGAUCACUACCAAAUAAAAGCUCUUUCUUAUAAGCUCUUCCCAUAAUAUGGAGCCCACCAUCCUCAAACCACCAAUGCCAACUGUUGACCAAAGGCCAUCUAAGGAAGAGAUAGACCCAAGAGCCUUGGGGUCUAGACAAUGGGCACUACUUCCUGCCCAGUCCUCACAGCCAUCCUUCCAGUAAGCAACCACUGUCAAGAAGCAGCCAGGCAAUUCCUGUUAAUGGUGCUGCUGCAGUCACAGAUCCUGAAGACUUAGGAAAAAAAGGUUUUGCAGCCAAAACUCUUGGCCCUGUGAAAUGAUUCAGCCUCAGAAACAUAUGAUUUUCUCAGUGCAAAUGACAUUAAAGACUAUAAUACACUGCCA